rnacentral:rRNA from 1 species
GACGAACGCUGGCGGCGUGCCUAACACAUGCAAGUCGUACGGGACCGGGGGCAACUCCGGUUCAGUGGCAGACGGGUGCGUAACACGUGAGGAACCUGUCCGGUGGCGGGGGAUAGCCGGCCCAACGGCCGGGUAAUACCGCAUACGCUCGUUCGGGGGCAUCCCUGGGCGAGGAAAGCAGCCGCAAGGUUGCGCCGACGGAGGGCCUCGCGACCUAUCAGCUUGUUGGCGGGGUAACGGCCCACCAAGGCGACGACGGGUAGCUGGUCUGAGAGGAUGACCAGCCACAUUGGGACUGAGACACGGCCCAGACUCCUACGGGAGGCAGCAGUGGGGAAUAUUGCGCAAUGGCCGCAAGGCUGACGCAGCGACGCCGCGUGUGGGAUGACGGUCUUCGGAUUGUAAACCACUGUCAGGGGGAACGAAUACAGGGCUUCGAUAAGGAGACCCUGGGUGACGGUACCUCCAAAGGAGCACCGGCUAACUCCGUGCCAGCAGCCGCGGUAA